CAAUCGAGUAAAACAACCAUAUUUGUCCCAUGAACACCAAUAUCUUUACUAUAUCACGACUCAACAUAACAGCCUCCAAAAAUUCUAUUAACUAGGAGCAAUAACUAUUCAUGCUGCUUUCUGCCCCUUAUUUGUAAAUAUAAGACGGAAAAAUGAAAGUGCACAACGCAACACACUCGUCUAUCGUUUAGAAAAUAUUUAUACACGUUCUUUUCUUAUUUUUAAAAUAUAACUACAUAUGAAUUGAA
rnacentral:lncRNA from 1 species